rnacentral:lncRNA from 1 species
UAUGAGCGCACACACACGUAUGAGUGACAUGAACUUGGUCAAACGAGCGUAGCCCAGAGCAGCGUUCAGCGUAGCGGUACUUCUUGAGUCUUUGAAUCUUGUACUUUUGUUCAACGGUGGUUACUGACGCCGUGGUACGCAUCGCUUUGUGAUGAAGUCGUUUUUAAAUCGCUUGUACAAGAAGAUCAAGUGGUAUUACUUCAUGUACGAUCUCCACACGUCCCUCUACAUGUUGGAGUCUUGGGAGAAGAGAGUAUUCAAUAUUGGGCUUGUAGCCGUCGUCGCUAUGUCAAGUUACACGACCUACGUCUUCUUGCCUCGUUACACACAGAAUGUGCUCCGUUAUUUUGGGGUAGUUGAGUAGGUGACUGCACCACGGCCAGCGUCCAAGAUGAAGUAAACUGCAUUGCCGCGUCUGCCCUCCUUUUCAAGUCGCCCGGAAAGCCAAAAAAGUGCCGUGGAUUGCCGUCACUCCUAGCUGUUUGACGCGCCCUCAAGAAGACCUUGCACAGUUCACGCUUGUAUUACACGACGAAUUAAAAUAGCAACAGAGGGACAACGCCCUGUUGCAGUAAUCUACAUCGUGGCCACCACUAAAUUUUGCAUUUGGGUCUCUUCAAACAGCUAGCUAAAUCAAUGCGCGGUGUUCAUUUAUGUUCACGUGUUUUGAUUUUUGUAAAGUUUUUCAGUCUGAUGUGGAGAAAACUAACCAAUAGCCAUAAUGCCAUGCACAAAUCAGUCUGGUUUCAUUCAAGGCAUGAAAAAGUGUGCACUCUUGGUUUGAACAUUGUUUUAUUCAGUUGCGCCUCGCACCAUGUUAAUCAACCAACCAUCAUGUCAGCUUGACAAUGCUCAGUGCUUGUGCAAUAACACAGUCAUGCUAUCAUUUGACUGUUACAUCACUAAUGAUGGCCAAUGUGGCUGGUGCUUUGCGUGCAUGCGUACCAUACCGUGGUUGUUGCGCUAGUUGGUGUACACAAACCAUGUGACCCUUCUUGUUUUUGUCUUGCAUGUGCCACACUUUAUUAAAUUGUCAAUGUAGCCUUGGC